rnacentral:lncRNA from 1 species
UUCAAUAGUUUGUUGCUGAUGAAACCACACCACUGGAGGCAAGGAUAGUUGCUGUUGGUGAAGCUUGUGAGUUCAAGUGAGAACUAUGGAGUCCUUUGAUGAAUGUGGUUUCUUCUUUUGUCUGUUCUCCAGGUUUAUGCUAAAUUAUCCAUCUAGGCACUCAACUAUUAGUUGUUGCAAUCUACAGAGAUAGCAGAGUAGAUGAAGCCUAAGCACUGGCACUGGGUAAUGGAGUAUUUAAGCCAGUUUCUCUAAUGGAAAGAGUGAAAGGACUGUGUUGUCUUUUUUUCCACUGCUGUCACAAGCUGCUGUUACUUUGAAAUUUUUAUUUUUAUUUUUAUUUUUAAUUUUAUUUUUUUUUAAAUUCUAGGAGACAGUCAUGAGGGAGAAUGAGAAAGCACUCCUGUCAGGUGACGUAAAGCUCCUGUUUGGUUAACCAGAGAAGUAAGUGUGGUAAUGAUCACUUUUCUUCUGAAAGCAUUGCAACUACUUCAGUACAAAUACUUCUAUGGGAAGACAUGGGGAAAUGCAUUUUGACUCUCCAUUUGGACUCAUCUUGGACCCUGCUAUGUGAAGAGAUUAGAACACAUUCAUAUCAGCCUUCAGAUGAAUAAGUGUGCGCUCACCAGAUUCAAAGAAAGGAGGCAAAAGGGGUUGCAGACCAGGAUAUUUACAGCCAUGGAAGCACUCCUUACAGAAGUAGAAAACCACCAGAGAUCUGUUGGUGAGCACUUCUUUGUUUACUGGUGUUUUAAGAUAUAUU